UACGUAGGGCGCAAGCGUUGUCCGGAAUUAUUGGGCGUAAAGAGCUCGUAGGCGGCUUGUCGCGUCGGUCGUGAAAACUUUCAGCUUAACUGGGAGCUUGCGGUCGAUACGGGCAUCACUGGAGUUCGGCAGGGGAGACUGGAAUUCCUGGUGUAGCGGUGAAAUGCGCAGAUAUCAGGAGGAACACCGGUGGCGAAGGCGGGUCUCUGGGCCGAUACUGACGCUGAGGAGCGAAAGCGUGGGGAGCGAACAGG
rnacentral:rRNA from 1 species